rnacentral:misc_RNA from 1 species
UAUCUGUUCUGUUGCUAAGGUGAGUCCCGUUCUGCACGCUGUGUGCACCUGCAGUGGAGUAUAAAAACGAUUGCAAAAUUUUCCUGUGUAAGUGUAGAAAUGUCGCUAACACAGCGUUGUUAUAACGCUCAUUAUUAGAACAGUACAUAAGACCAAAAAAUCAUGCAUGUGUCCAACCGUCGAAGUCCAUGGGGUUUCUACAAAACUACGAACGCCAUCAGUUUACACUCCGUCCAAGCAUUAGGAAUUAUAGCAACUCCCCGGUCGAUUCGCCAAAACGGAGCAAGCUUACCAGUCGUUCCGGAGAAUGGAGAGUUAUCGUCCAUAGAUAUUUACUGCGGGAAGGAGCAGCCACCGUGGCAGCGGGCCAUUUCAGGAAGAAAGAAUGACUGGGACGUUCUCCAAAAGGCCACCGUGGGAUUGUUUCAAAGGCAGAAACCAGUCUUGGAGGCCGGGGAGCUUGCCAAAUUACACGAAACUAUUCGAAAACUUCAGAACUCAUACGCAGGACCAUUUAUCUACGAGUAUUACAAGCAAAAAAUACUUAGCAAAGGAAUGAGCAUUCUUCGAGAUCGUAUACGUCAAUCAAAAGGAAAACGACUAACACGCUCUCUAGAGGAAGUGUGGGGGAAUAUCUUUGUGGAUAUAUUACCGCUUUUAGACGCAAUAUUGUUUCUUGUCAAGACGAGAGAAGGGAUCACUAUUCGACAAACUACACUUGCCGCGUUUCGUGAUCAAGUUGUUUUGAAGCUAAAUAUAGAAGAUGCUCUAUCCUCUGAAGCAGCGGAAGUGCCACUUGGUGUUAAACACAUGCUGCUUAUACUAUACGACAAUAGUUCCAUUCUUAGGAUUUAAAGGUCUAUAUUGUGGCAAUUCCAUGCCAUUAAUCGAGUCGUCGGAACCGCAGCUUAUAGCAAAGAGACGAUCAAAUGAUGGUGGUCGUCGAAUUUCUCGUCCUUUUAGCAUUCAGCCUUGCCAAUUGGACACUCUAAAUGAAAUGUUUCUAACCGCUCUCAGGAAACAACAGGAAUGACUGUUUCAUAUUACUAUCAGAAAUCUCCGAGAGGCCGUAGGGGGAAACAUUUAGAAUAUUUAAUCUCCUUUUUUUAUUGCUUAUUUGUAAAUAUAUUUUAUUUCUGUGGCUAUCCGUUACAACCAAUAAGGAAGAAGGUUGUUAAGCCUUUUCCAAAUCAGUUUUAACCAUUUUGGGAUACAAUCUAGAACGUUCUGUAUUAAAAUAUUACGAGCUAAAGGAAGCCAAAAAUAUGUAAGAACUUUGCAAAAUAGCUUUCACAUGUUUGUGUUCUAAAGUACUAUUUGUAUCGGACAAGGAACGUGGUUUCUUUCCACACUGAAUACAAUAAGCGUGAAGAAAUCUACACAUGUGGCGAACACAGUAGUUUUUAAGUGAAAAAACAAAAAAAGUUCGGACAAAUUGUAAGGUUAUAAUUUUAGUUUAUUUUUGGGGGAAGUGGAAACUAUGGUAACUCUCGCAGAUUAUAAAAGCUCCAUGCAUAAAGAGGACGUUGCUCUACAACUGUGGACUUUAUCCUCCUUGUGUUUUGAGUUGGAUGACAUUUCUCGCCCAUGUGGAGGCCUUGAAAUGUCUUGGAAAAGUAAAUUUCAGAGUAUUUUGUUAAUGAAUGAAUAGCUUAAUAACUAAAGUUAGUGGCUGUCUUCAACUUCUUGAUUUUUCCAUAAUAGAUUCCAUGUAAAUAGAUAUUUUAAGAUAUAUAUGCAAAUUAUAAUAGGAAAUUUAAAAAAAAAGUAGUCUUGUAUGAAAAAUGUGUUUA